rnacentral:rRNA from 1 species
AUACGGAGGGUGCAAGCGUUAUCCGGAAUCAUUGGGUUUAAAGGGUCCGCAGGCGGACUAAUAAGUCAGUGGUGAAAUCCUCUCGCUUAACGAGAGAACUGCCAUUGAAACUGUUAGUCUUGAAUUCGGUCGAAGUAGGCGGAAUGUGUCAUGUAGCGGUGAAAUGCAUAGAUUUGACACAGAACACCGAUAGCGAAGGCAGCUUACUAGACCUGGAUUGACGCUCAUGGACGAAAGCGUGGGGAGCGAACAGGAUUAGAAACCCUAGUAGUCC